CGGACGGUGAGUAACGCGUGGGUAACCUGCCUUGCACUGGGGGAUAACACUUAGAAAUAGGUGCUAAUACCGCAUAAGCGCACGGUCCUGCAUGGGACAGUGUGAAAAACUCCGGUGGUGCAAGAUGGACCCGCGUCUGAUUAGCUGGUUGGCGGGGUAAAGGCCCACCAAGGCGACGAUCAGUAGCCGGCCUGAGAGGGUGGACGGCCACAUUGGGACUGAGACACGGCCCAAACUCCUACGGGAGGCAGCAG
rnacentral:rRNA from 1 species